UAGGGAAUUUUCGUUCAAUGGGCGCAAGCCUGAACGAGCAAUGCCGCGUGAACGAGGAAGGUCUUCGGAUCGUAAAGUUCUGUUGAAGGGGAAAAAAGAGCGGAGAGAGGAAAUGGUCUCCGAUUGAUAUUACCCUUCGAGGAAGUCACGGCUAACUACGUGCC
rnacentral:rRNA from 1 species